GUGAAAAAAGAUUGUGGCUCUGUGUGUGUGAGAGAGGGUUGACUUCUGGGGAAGAGCUAGACUGCAAAUAAAAUGGCCUAAACAGUUGCUAUGUACUUAAAAUGCAAACUCUACAUGUCAUUAGCGCGAUCCAAAUGAACUGUGUUUAGCGGCCAGCUUUGCUACGUUUGAGAAGACCAUCCACAUUACCAUAAUGGUGCAGUCCAGGAGAGAAGUGAGAAUUCUGCUGCUGGGAGAGCCGGGAGUGGGGAAAACCUCACUCAUCCUCUCACUGGUCAGUGAGGAGUUUCCCGAGGAGGUGCCGGCCCGGUCGGAGGAGAUCACCAUCCCCGCCGACGUGACGCCCGAAAAGGUGCCCACGCACAUCGUCGACUACUCGUCUCUGGAGCAGACAGAGGACCAGCUUCUGGCGGAGAUUCUGCGCGCUCACGUCAUCUGCGUCAUCUACGCCGUCGACGAUGAGGACACGCUGGACAAGGUGACGGACUACUGGCUGCCGCUGGUGCGUCAAACUCUGGGAGAGGAACACUCGACCCCCGUCAUACUGGUCGGAAACAAGGUGGACCUGGUGGAGUACAGCACGCUCGAGGCCGUCAUACCCAUCAUGAACGAGUUCGCCGAAAUCGAGACAUGCGUCGAGUGCUCGGCGCGGACGUUGAAGAACAUCUCUGAGAUGUUUUAUUACGCUCAGAAGGCCAUUCUUCACCCCACUGCGCCCCUGUUCAACACAGCCGAACGAGACCUUACGGAGGCCUGCAAAGCAGCGCUGGGUAGAAUCUUCAAGAUUUGUGACAUGGAUAACGACGGUCUUCUCUCGGAUACGGAGCUCAACACGUUCCAGCGUCGCUGCUUCAACGCGCCACUGCAGCCACAGGGACUCGACGACGUCAAGUCCAUCGUCAUGAAGAACGUCAGGGAUGGCGUGGUCGACGACGCGCUUACACUGGACGGGUUCCUGUUCCUGCACUGUCUGUUUAUUCAGCGCGGCCGGCACGAGACGACGUGGACCGUGCUGCGGAAAUUCGGCUACGGAGACGACCUGACGCUCACCAAAGAGUACCUCUUCCCGCCUCUGAGGAUCCCGCCGGGCUGCUCGACUGAGCUGACUCACCAGGGAUAUCAGUUCCUCCAGGUGAUGUUUGAGAAGUACGACCAGGACAAGGACGGCUGUCUGGACCCGGAGGAGCUCAUCCAGCUCUUCUCCACCUGCCCCUAUAUACCCUGGGGAAAGCAGGUGUACAACACGGUGCCGACGGACAGCCGCGGCUAUCUGACGCUGCAGGGCUACCUGUCUCAGUGGACGCUGUGGACACUGCUGGGAGCCGGCCGCACGCUCGAGUACCUCGGACACCUGGGGUACAGCUACGUCAUGGAGGAGCCCCAGUCGGCCGCCAUACACGUGACCCGGGAGAAGCGGCUGGACCUGCAGAAGAAGCAGACGUCCCGCACCGCCUACCAGUGUCACGUGAUCGGACCGAAGGGCGCCGGCAAGACAACGUUCUGCCAGGGACUGCUCAACAGGAACGCUGAGUCGGUGUCCUCUGUGCUCGAGUCGGACCUCUCGAAGCAGACCAUCAGCCCUGUGCAGGUAUACGGCCAGGAGCGCUACCUUCUGCUGUGCGACAUAGACGUGCACUCCGUCACCGACACUCUGCUGCCCUCGGAGGCGCAGUGCGACGUGGUCUGCCUCGUGUACGACGUGGCCGACCCGCGCAGCUUCGAGUACAUCGGCGGCAUCUAUCUGAAGUACUUUGCCGAGACCCCAGUACCGUGCCUAGUGGUGGGUAACAAGAGUGACCGCGGCGAGGUGCGUCAGCAGUACAUGGCCCAGCCGGGGGAGUUCUGUCGCCGGCACCGUCUGCCGCCCCCGCAGACGGUCACCUGUACGGGCACAGUGCGGCGCGACGUCUACCUCAAACUGGCCACCAUGGCCGCCUACCCCUGCCGUCACCAGUGGUGGUCGGAGGCCGUCAGCACCACCAGGUAACACCACCAGGCGGCACCACUCAGCCGGACCCGAGAAACGGGUGGCGUCAGCGUGUGUCUGUGCUGUCACGCUUUGCUUCACGAUUUGGCUGUGCUGUGAAUUGCUGUGAUCACAAAGCAGAAUCUGUAUACGUUGUUCUAAAGAAAAAAAAUGAAACAAAUUUGACCACAUCUCUCUUCAUGUCUCUCUCCCCUUCAUUCUCUCCCCCUCUCUCUCUCCCCUCUCUCCCCGCUCUCCCCCCUCUCUCUCUCUCUCACUCACGCUAUCUCUCUUUCAUCCCCUCCCCUAUUUCCUCUCUUCUCUGUUCUCUCUUAUCCUUGCCCUCUCUUAUCCUUGCCCUCUCCUCCUUUCCUCUUAUUAAAUAAUGUUUGCAGUCUUUCUCACCACUCACAAGUCACACUCAACAGAAACUCACGCUAUUGCUGUGUCGUGUCCACACUGCUGUGUGUGCCAUCCCGUAUGUGGUCUACUCGUAUGUCCACCGAUUCGCUGCCGUCCUAGAGUGAGCCGAUACCUACGGGGACUGAGAGUUUAUGUGCUGAGUUGGACCCAGGGUUUUUGCCGUUUGUGCUGUGGUAUUUUUGUGUAGCUGCUGUAAGGGCUGCUUAUAAGUUUGUGGAUUGACCGUGCCGGUUUUUGUGUUGAUUUUGACCCUGGUCUCCCUGGCAGCGCACUAUCCCAGGUUAUCUUAUGUCCAUGUUGUGUUGUCCGGUGAUAUUAAACCCAUUGACGCCAUUAACAAGUCAUAAUCGUGAUGUGUUUUGACUGUAAUGUUUCUAACACACAAAGCUCUCAUCCAUUAAAUAUCCUAUCUCCGUGACGCUGAUCUUUGACUAAUAUGUGCUAGAUGACUAAUAGAUAGUGUGCAAUGGUAGCGGUAUUGGUUACCCAUGACCCGUGACCUGUGACCCUGGUGACCCUGAAUAACAUCCUCUGACCCCCACCGCUGCUCACUGUGACUGCUCAGUCGGUUCCUCCCGGCCUGGAUGCUCUUCUCGCGCAGUGGAAGGCACCUGCGGAGUAUGGGUCUGCUGCCGCGCGACAACAGCGGCUGGAUGAAACUUGGCCUCGGAUUGGCCGCCGUCGUGUGCGGCGGCUUCCUAUUGGCCCGCUACGCCCGGUUCCUGCACCAAUGAGCGACGAGCAGGCGCCCGGCGGGCUGAACAAGCCUCGAUAGUGAAUACAUAGGACAGUGAUGUGUGCCUGAUCGUGCUGAUCAGUGUAAAUGGCUUCUGGAGUUGAGUGUAACUCGUGAGUGUGGGGUGAUGUACUCCAAGCGUAGGUGUCUGAGUGAUGCAACUCUGACUAUCUCCAAAAUGGAAUGAACUUGGCUGAGGUACGAACCAUGUGAGGUGAUGAAAAGAGAUAUUCGGUUUUGUGUGAUCCGAUCAAUAACUGUAGAAAGGAUUUCCAGAGCAAAACGCAUUGCAGAGCUGCCGGAUACCGAAAACCUCCAGCCCUGAAACACACUAGAGAUGCCGUUUCUCUGAACGAGUCCGGUUUUCACAUUCAUGGCACGCUUUGACGCGUGACUGCGGGAACGCCAAACGUAUGCUGCUGUAAUCCCUGUACUUCUCCUGCCUCUACGAUGGCUCUGAUCAGACUUCCCCAAAGUAGCCAUAAUUCCAGUCCGAUAUGCAAAGUGCUGUAUAUUUGUGUGCGAUGGCAUGGUGUUUGUGCGGGGGUGAGCACUGAGCAGUUGUCUUCAGAAGACGAGCGUUAACCGACGAGCAGUUGACUGAACUCGUUCGCAAAGCGUGUGUGUGUGGCUGAUGUUAACGCUGUCGUGAUCAUUUGCUCUCAGCAGAUCACUGAUCAGAUACAAUGAUGUGUGUGUAAGGGGCAUGCAUUUGUCGGAUCGGUGCUUGUUUGAUAGACGAUGUGUCGUCUGGAGUCCUUAUGACGUUACAUCUUUGAUCUUGCGACAUCUUAUCGCGCUGUAAAUUAUUCGGACAGUCUUGAUUGCUUGCCUGUGCCACGCUGUGUUUGUGUCUGCUGAGAGUGCCAUUUUCGGACGGCAGAGGCUCGAUGACGUCAUAUAGUUACUGAUGACGUCAUAUAGUUACUGAUGACGUCACUGGAGCGGUCAGAGCCCGCUGUGUGACGUCACAACACGGCGGGUGGACUCAAAUGAGCGCCUCUAAGGCGGGAAUGAACAGACUGCUGGGUGGUUUGAUUCGCUACAUCCCGAGAGUGAGGGUCGAUGCUUGUGUGUCAUGCAUAUGAUAUGGGAACGCGUGUGUCUGAUUGUGGAUCGUGUUUGUAUGAAAGACAGUAUGCUAUGUAGGAGAGCGUGGUUAUAACGAUUGUGGCGAUUGGUCGUCAUGUGUACAUAAACGCUGGCCGCGGCAGUGUGCUGUAUAUUCUAGGCCGGUUUGUUAGACCCUCUAGAUCGGCCUGACCCCAGAGUCAAGGCCCCCUGGGCCGGUGAGAACCCGCGGAUGAGUUGGUCAAACCCCGGUGUGUUGGGUGUGAGCAGUUGAGGAAUCCUGCAGUCAACCGAUAUAAGCGAGCCGAGAACCCGUGGACGGCUCUGUUCGCAAGAUCUAGGUAAAUAAAGUACAAACCCUA